GAUGAACGCUGGCGGCGUGCCUAAUACAUGCAAGUCGAGCGAACGGACGAGAAGCUUGCUUCUCUGAUGUUAGCGGCGGACGGGUGAGUAACACGUGGAUAACCUACCUAUAAGACUGGGAUAACUUCGGGAAACCGGAGCUAAUACCGGAUAAUAUUUUGAACCGCAUGGUUCAAAAGUGAAAGACGGUCUUGCUGUCACUUAUAGAUGGAUCCGCGCUGCAUUAGCUAGUUGGUAAGGUAACGGCUUACCAAGGCAACGAUGCAUAGCCGACCUGAGAGGGUGAUCGGCCACACUGGAACUGAGACACGGUCCAGACUCUUACGGGAGGCAGCAGUAGGGAAUCUUCCGCAAUGGGCGAAAGCCUGACGGAGCAACGCCGCGUGAGUGAUGAAGGUCUUCGGAUCGUAAAACUCUGUUAUUAGGGAAGAACAUAUGUGUAAGUAACUGUGCACAUCUUGACGGUACCUAAUCAGAAAGCCACGGCUAACUACGUGCCAGCAGCCGCGGUAAUACGUAGGUGGCAAGCGUUAUCCGGAAUUAUUGGGCGUAAAGCGCGCGUAGGCGGUUUUUUAAGUCUGAUGUGAAAGCCCACGGCUCAACCGUGGAGGGUCAUUGGAAACUGGAAAACUUGAGUGCAGAAGAGGAAAGUGGAAUUCCAUGUGUAGCGGUGAAAUGCGCAGAGAUAUGGAGGAACACCAGUGGCGAAGGCGACUUUCUGGUCUGUAACUGACGCUGAUGUGCGAAAGCGUGGGGAUCAAACAGGAUUAGAUACCCUGGUAGUCCACGCCGUAAACGAUGAGUGCUAAGUGUUAGGGGGUUUCCGCCCCUUAGUGCUGCAGCUAACGCAUUAAGCACUCCGCCUGGGGAGUACGACCGCAAGGUG
rnacentral:rRNA from 1 species